UACGGGGGGGGCGAGCGUUGUUCGGAAUUAUUGGGCGUAAAGGGCGCGUAGGCGGUGUGGUAAGUCUGUUGUGAAACCUCCAGGCUCAACUUGGAGCUUGCAUCAGAAACUGCCGUGCUAGAGUGUGGGAGAGGAGAGUGGAAUUCCUGGUGUAGCGGUGAAAUGCGUAGAUAUCAGGAGGAACACCGGUGGCGAAAGCGGCUCUCUGGACCACAACUGACGCUGAGGCGCGAAAGCUAGGGGAGCAAACAGG
rnacentral:rRNA from 2 species